CACGCGGAACAUAUAUAUACAUAUGUAUAUAUACGCGUAGAGAGCUGAUAGAGUGUAAAUGGAAUGUAAAAUGGAAGGAAACGCGUGGUUACGAGAAUAAGUCGCUCGUAUCGACAGAGUUUCUCUAGGGACCUUUAAGAAGAGGAGGAGGAGGAGUGUAUUCUUUUGUUUGACAAACGUGUCGAACAAUAAAUCACGCACCUACGCCUUAGCCUUCGGCUAUAUCGUCACAAGAACGAGGAAAAAGAAGCUUGUAACUCGUUUCGUAAGUAGAGUCGUGUUUUACGGAGCAUUGACGUCACUGGUGUAUUCAGAUUGCAUUGUUGCAGAUAAGUUUCAAUCGAGCACCGUUCCAGUUUUAACGUUUAACAACGGGAGCCACCAGAUAAGCCAGAUUCACUGCAUAUCCAACCCGAUAAGAGAAUCCGAGGGGAAAAACAGGAUUCAUUCGUAAUUCACACUUCUAAACAUUUUAUGUUAUAUUGGCCUUAUAUACUGGCUACAGAAAGUAUUGGAACAUACACUUACCUCUUAAUAAACAAAAUUUCAUUUUCAUAAGAAGACAUUUUUUUGAAUCGUACGAAAGUGCUGCUAGCUAAACUACCGAUACGAAAUGAAUAAUAUGUUUUGAAUCUAAUUAAUUAGCGUGUAGAUGCUAUAAUAAAUACAAUAGUGUACCAAUGCUUUCUAUAGUCACUGCAUAGUAACUUGUAUUGUCGAAACGCACGGUUAUCCCCUUUUUAUUAUUAUUAUUAUUAUUUUUACUAAUAUUAUUUAUUCUGUAUUAUUAUAUUAUUUCGCAAAGCGUCACAAAUAACGCGGAGAAAUAGUGGAAAAGAAGUGCGCGCAACGCGCGCAAACAUCACGAUCGCGGAAGCGCGAUGUUUUUCUUUAGAAGCUUGCGUCGUCCUCGAUAAAACGGAUGGCGAAAUUUUCAUCCGAACCAUACACCAGAAAAGCGACAACGACCUCGGCUCAAGUGCGUCAAUGCACGAGCAAGACGAUUUGAUAAAAGUGCAACCGUAGCUUGUCUUCUUUGCGAAAGCGAGGCGAAUUGUUGUCUGGAAAUAAUGGGAUAAGAUCGCGUACACGCGCCUUAUAUUAUUUGCUGAUUUUUAUUCUUCGUGACUGAAUCGCGAACGCCGACCUCUUUUCGCGCACGAAAUAUCGCGCCGCUGAUCUUAGUAAAUUGCACGUCGUUUACAGAAAAAUUGCUAGGAAAUAAGUACAGGAAAGUUCAGGUUUAGAUUAAACAAAAUUUGGAUACUUAUCUUCGAUUCUAUCGUGUUCUUACUCUUAUAGUAUGCCUAUCUAUAGUAUAUCUAUUGUAACGUAAAAUUGCACAUUUUUCUACUUUUAAUAUAAUAACGAUCGAGGGAUAUCUUUGUUCUUUGAACCAUUUUAUUUGUAAGAAGCGCGAAACACGCAAAAGUUAUAAAACUUACGUCGAAUGAUAAAACCAAGCAUUUAAAAACUGUGUAUAUUUUUUAAUGUCUAUUGAAACGUGGCGUCCGUUUCACAUCCAUUUCGCAUAGACUAGAAGAGCACAGCAGGAUUGAAAAAAAACCAGAAAGAAUAAUUUUCAAAAAACUACAGAGUCGAGUUUCCGAAUUCCUGUUAACCUUUGGUCUACGACGAACGAUCCGGACAAUGUACGUCUUUUCAAAGACACUGGAAGAAAACUCGUUUCGCUAUUAACAAUUUUAAUCAUUUUGUUUAGAACUGUAUAGAUUUAACGAUUUUAAGUUUUAACUUAGACUGCAGAGUUAAGCGAUAGUACACGUCGAGUUACAACGUAGGUCUUCAAAGAUCUACCGAGUUCAAGUUCGUAUAUCUAGAUAUUAUAUUGCGCCGCCUUCGCAUCGAUUUUUAUGCAAGCGAAAAAGUCAUAAAGAUCAGCCACUCGUUGAUUAUCAUCCGUUUGGAUGAUAUUUGAACAUCACCUGUAAGAGAUUGGUACAACCCCUAUGGAAAAUAUUCAUUACGAUCAAUUCUUCUUCUUUCUUACGUCAUAUCCUUCGAAUGUUAAGGUAAAAAAUGUAUUAAAUCGCUAAUGACUGUAUUGUUUAGGUGCACAUAGGUCAACAUCAAUAUACAGGGUAUUCGGGCUGUUCCCAGCGUUUUUCUUGUAAACGAUCAGUAUGCGGAAAAAAUGAAAGGGGAAACAGAUGAAUGAUUCGAACUGAGCUACAUGUUCGCGUGAUAAAAUUUUGUUCACAAUAGCAAAAAUGUAUGUGCAUCUUGCAGUUGCGCUAUUUUUUUGAAACGGAAACCUUCUCUGUUUUUUGCACACAUCGAAGCCUCUCGUCGUUCUACGAAAAAAACAUGUUCGAAGAUUCGGUAGUCUAAAAGAUAUUGUAACUUUAAUUUUGUAAAAUUUAUCGUAAGGCAAAGAAAAUAUAAAUACGAGAGUACUUCGUUACAUAUUUCUUCGUUCUCCAUAUGAUAAGUUUUGUAUAAAAUUAGUUAAAAUCUCUUUGAAAUCAAUCAGUUUUCGACCAUGUUUAAUACUUGAUCUUUUCAAUUGAUGAGACGAUCCGACGAAUGCAAAAAAGAUAUUAUCGUGAAUAUGUAUUUCGGUCUAAACCGACCAUCUGUCUUUUCCGCUUUUUUCCUCAUACUUGUCGUUUACCAUAAAAACGCUGGCAACUAAUAACAUAAACACCUUCUAUGAUAAAAAUGGGAAAAGUAAAAAAAAAAAAAAGAAGAGUACGAAGUAAGGCAAAUGCUAAACGAUGUUAAUACGUUUAGUAUCAUGGAUAUUUUUUUACCAAAGACAGGAAUUGUUGUAAGUCGGUUUGCAGAGUGCUUAUUCAGUCUUAACGCUCAAUUAGUAAGACGAUACGCUUUUUACGUAAUCGGACGAAUUGAAUUUGAUCCUACUUAAAAUACUAUAGAACGUGCAGUUUCAUGUAUUUUAUGCUUAUAGCUGCACGUGUAUGUGUUGUGUGUAUAUGUAAAAAAUGGAUUAACUUUUUUUAAAGCUAAUAAGUUACGAACCUGAGCAUAUUACACGUAUAUGUGUCUUUAUUAAAUUUGAAUACGUACAAUAAAAUUAUCAUUAAAUUACCUAUAUAUUUUAAUUUGUUGUUAAUCGUAAAUUUUACUCUUUUUUUUACUUCCAUCUUAUUUAAUGCCCAGCCAUAAAGUAACAAUAACAGACACGAUGAUCUAAAAAAACAUUUUGAAAAUUCUCGAUUUUAUUUUAGUAGGUUGAUGUUAAUGUGUUGUUUAGGAGUUCAAGAUAAUAGCAUAUCACGCUUUUAAUAACCAAUUUUUUCCGAGAUAAUAGUGACGAUAAAAUAUGACGUAAAAUUAAUAAGUCGAUGUUGUUAUGGUACUGUGUUAUGCUACGUAAAUCUUUCAUCAUAGUUAUGCCUAAAUUUUUUUUUUAUCGCAUCUACUAGCUAUUACGUGCGUUAUAAUAUGCAAAUAAAUAUGCAUUGCACAAAUACGAAAGGUUGCUACGAUCCUCGGGAACUUCUCCCUGCGUCAGAAGAAAAUAAUCUUCUUUUUUCAUAGAUGACAUUGAUUAACAGUAAUUACAAUCAAUCGUUAUGCAAUUUUUUCAAGCGCAUGUAAAUUUCCUCCUGUAGUAAUAAAAUUCUAGAAUAGUGUAACUAAUUUAUACGAUACAUUCAAAUUCCUCCGUGAUGUAUUAACGUUGUUAUUGUAUAUUGUGCCUUCCGUUCCUCUCUUUCCCCAAUUUCCAUAUUUAUAACUUUUGCCCUUUUUUUAUUCUGCAUAGAAGUCAAAAAUUUAUUACAAUUAUAUAUCAGGUUUUAACAUUAACAAAAUCUCGAAGCAAUAGCAUAUUUCUGGAUAUUUCUCCUUUUGUUUAAUACUUUUUUAGAUACUAGUAACAACUUUCACAGCGAAAGACUGUUACGCGGUCGAAUUAAGGAAACGAACAACUAUGUCUGUAACGUGUUCUAAGAAGAAUAACAAUCUUGAAAUUCAGAAUAGACGAAGCGGAAAUCAAGACAAGAACAAGAUGAAAACGAGGCAGAAACAUGAUAAAAGAGGCAAAAACAAGGUAUAAACGUGAUAAACGAAACGAGGUAGAAACGAGGUCAAAAAAUGUCGUAACACGAGUAUAAGAAAUAUAAAGAACAACAAAAAGCCAGUUUCUCAAUUAAAAUGACGCGGAAAUUAAAUACUAGAUCGACGUCAAUGACAUGAUGCAUAUGUAUAUGUAUAUUACUUGUUGUCGCUUUAAGCAAAUGAGGGCUCUAAAAUGUCGAUCAAUGAUCCCCUACAAACGUGACCCCACAGGAAAAAAACAAUUUAUAAAUCAAGCCUGACUUUAUAUGUACUAUCAUCAAUCGAAAGCCAUUCGAUCAUGUGGUUAUAUUUUUUAACGAUAACACCAACACGCUAUUUGUUAUUAAAUAGACAUUUUCCAAUUCGUCAACUAAAUAUAGUAUCGUGUAUUUGCCUAUAUGUAUAUUCUAUGUUUUACGUAUGUAAAGCGAAGAAAAUAAAUUUUCUUUUAUACUUUAAAUCUGUAGAACCUGAAUAUAUAAAUUUUAUAUUAAUACGAUAUUAGUACAAGUUUGAUAAUAAAUAUUAUUUGGUAAAACAUCUUCUGAAAAAAGAAAAACAGAAUAAGAAAGACUGGCGAAUGAUUUUUACGUAAUAGAUAAGUUUUGAGAGAUAUUUGUCUCGAUUUUUCACGCUCUGCAAUUAUGAUUAGGAUUAAUAUUACUGUAUUACAUAAUCAAAUUGUAAAGAAAACAAUAAUUUAUCAAUGAAAAGGUACUAAUUCGCUGUCUAUUCAAUUACUUGAGAAAUAAUUAUUCUUCUCGUCUGUUUUAUAUUGUUGUUACAGCAGGUAAUUUAUUUCUAUUGAACAAUUUUCCUGACAGUCUGCAUGUAUAAGUGGGUUUCAUAUUAAAGAAUAUAAAAGGAAAGCGAAGUAUAAUUUAAUUUACUGGGUAAUACUGAUCAUUAUCAUUAUAGAGACAUUGUAUGUUUACUCUGAUAUUAUAUUCUCCAGUGACGUAUUAUUACGAUAAAUGUAGGUAUCUCGAAAUAUCAAAUAAAUUUGACAUCUUUGUAGAAACUUACAUGCUACGAUAUCGAAUUCCAAGAUAUAUUGACUUUUUCCUCUGAAUUGUGUAAUCAGUAUUAAGAUUUAAGUGCUCGAAUACUUUCAUUGAACCAAGUUAUGGUUACAACGUGCUUGGCAUUUUCAGAUAAAAGGAAUAACACAUGCUCUGUACGAUGGGAAUAAACGAUUAAUUUAAGAAGCUACAUAAUCGUAACUCUUGUCAAUGACGAUAUGAACUUGCAGAUAAAAAAGCUGAUGUAUAUAUGUAUACAUAUAUAUAUAUGUGUGUGUAUAUAUAUAUACGUUCGAUAAAUAAAAUCCAUGUUAAUA